UACGUAGGGGGCAAGCGUUGUCCGGAUUUACUGGGCGUAAAGGGCGUGUAGGCGGUCUGUUAAGUGCAGGGUGAAAGCUCCCGGCUCAACUGGGAGAGGUCCUUGCAUACUGGCGGACUUGAGGGGGGUAGAGGAAAGUGGAAUUCCCGGUGUAGUGGUGAUAUGCGUAGAUAUCGGGAGGAACACCUGUGGCGAAGGCGGCUUUCUGGGCCCUACCUGACGCUGAGACGCGAAAGCGUGGGGAGCGAACCGG
rnacentral:rRNA from 1 species